rnacentral:rRNA from 1 species
AGCGAACGCUGGCGGCAGGCCUAACACAUGCAAGUCGAACGAACUCUUCGGAGUUAGUGGCGGACGGGUGAGUAACACGUGGGAACGUGCCUUUAGGUUCGGAAUAACUCAGGGAAACUUGUGCUAAUACCGAAUGUGCCCUUCGGGGGAAAGAUUUAUCGCCUUUAGAGCGGCCCGCGUCUGAUUAGCUAGUUGGUGAGGUAAAAGCUCACCAAGGCGACGAUCAGUAGCUGGUCUGAGAGGAUGACCAGCCACAUUGGGACUGAGAAACGGCCCAAACUCCUACGGGAGGCAGCAGUGGGGAAUCUUGCGCAAUGGGCGAAAGCCUGACGCAGCCAUGCCGCGUGGAUGAUGAAGGUCUUAGGAUUGUAAAAUCCUUUCACCGGUGAAGAUAAUGACUGUAGCCGGAGAAGAAGCCCCGGCUAACUUCGUGCCAGCCGCCGCGGUAAGAC